rnacentral:rRNA from 1 species
GAUGAACGCUGGCGGCGUGCCUAAUACAUGCAAGUCGAGCGAACGGACGAGAAGCUUGCUUCUCUGAUGUUAGCGGCGGACGGGUGAGUAACACGUGGAUAACCUACCUAUAAGACUGGGGUAACUUCGGGAAACCGGAGCUAAUACCGGAUAAUAUUUUGAACCGCAUGGUUCAAAAGUGAAAGACGGUCUUGCUGUCACUUAUAGAUGGAUCCGCGCUGCAUUAGCUAGUUGGUAAGGUAACGGCUUACCAAGGCAACGAUGCAUAGCCGACCUGAGAGGGGGACGGGCACACCUGGAACGGGAACCGGGCCCAAACCCCUAGGGGGGGAAGCAGGGGGGAAUCUCCCCAAAGGGGGGAAACCCUACCGGAGCAACCCCCGGGGGGUGAUGAAGGCUUCCGGAUCGAAAAACUUUUUUAUUAGGAAAAAACAAUUUGUAAAGUAACUGUGCCACUCUGGCCGGUACCAAAUAAAAAAGCCCCGGCAAACUACGG